GGUUACACACAAACGGCCAUUCACAAUUGCAUACGAAUGUCCUCUCGACUACCUAUCUUCUUCUUCAUUUUGCCUUUUCUUCUGUCAUUGAACGUGUUCUCUUUUCUUCCAAAUCUCCUAAUAAAAGAAACAAACUUCGUCUUCUAUGAUCGUAAUUGUCAUGAAUUGAUCUACGAAAUGAAGAGCCGAGCGCCUGGUCCUCAAUACGAUCUGGCGAUUAUUUCCGACAAUGGAGGUAUAAAUACUUCGGAUACCAGACAGGUGAAGUUAAACCGGUUACAGAUUCUAUCCCGAGUUGCAAGUGAGACCAAAACCAAGAGGAAACAAUGGGUCAUACGAAUUGGCAUCAGCG